UUUUUUUCUUCUUUUUUUUUUUUGAUGCCCCAGUUGGCUGUUCUGCUGAUUCUCGAGAUGCAGCUGAGUGAUCUUCUUUUCUUGCUCAAGAAGUCGGGAAAUCUCGUCAGGAAUUCCUUCAACAUCAUCUUCGUCUGCUUCGAAUACAGGGAAUUCAAAAUUGGGAGAUGACGUCUGAUCAUUAUGUUCAAUGGGUUUGAGAAACAACCUGCAUAAAGAUUUUGAGCAUAAAAAAGCACUUUGA
rnacentral:lncRNA from 1 species